UACGAAGGUGGCGAAUGAUACUCGGAUUUACUGGGCGUAAAGCGUCCGCAGGUGGUUCAACAAGUCAGGUGUGAAAUCCCCGUGCUCAACAUGGGAACUGCAUUUGAAACUGUUGGACUAGAAGAUAGAAGAGGUUGGUAGAAUUCUCGGUGUAGAGGUGAAAUUCGUAGAUAUCGAGAGGAAUACUCAUGGCGAAGGCAGCCAACUGGUCUAUACUUGACACUCAUGGACGAAAGCGUGGGGAGCAAACAGG
rnacentral:rRNA from 1 species